AAUAAAUGUCUCACCAUCACUAUUGUUAGAAAUGGAGUUAAUAUUAUAAUCGUGAGCAUGAGCAUACACCUUUCGGCAUCUUCUCUGGGAAGUGUUGUCUUGAUCAGCAAUCAUGUCAUGAAUGUCUUUAGAGGCUACCUUGUUCGUUGCCAUAUUCUCUGACAAAUUCCAAUGGCAACCAUUGGAAAGAGAUACUUUGUCUUGUUCACUAGUGAAACUGAUUCCCGCCAAAAGUGCAUUCUCUGAACUCACAAAUCGAUUGGGGUUCAUCUCUUUAACAGUUUUCACCUUAUGCUCCUUAACCUUCCAUAAUUUAAUAGUCUUUUCAUUUGUUGAAAGGAUGAAGCGAGAUCCAUUGGGUGACACACACCACUUUAUUUUAUUAAUCUUCUCUUCG
rnacentral:misc_RNA from 1 species